rnacentral:rRNA from 1 species
CCAGCACCCCGAGUGGUCGGGACGAUUAUUGGGCCUAAAGCAUCCGUAGCCGGUUUUACAAGUCCUCCGUUAAAUCCAACUGCUUAACAGAUGGGCCGCGGAGGAUACUAUAAGACUAGGAGGCAGGAGAGGCAAGCGGUACUCAGUGGGUAGGGGUAAAAUCCGUUGAUCCAUUGAAGACCACCAGUGGCGAAGGCGGCUUGCCAGAAUGCGCUCGACGGUGAGGGAUGAAAGCUGGGGGAGCAAACCGGAUUAGAUACCCGGGUAGUCCCAGCUGUAAACGAUGCAGACUCGGUGAUGGACUAGCUUUAUGCUAGUCCAGUGCCGCAGGGAAGCCGUUAAGUCUGCCGCCUGGGUAGUACGGUCGCAAGACUGA